rnacentral:rRNA from 1 species
GACGAACGGAGCGAACGUUGUUCGGAAUCACUGGGCUUAAAGGGCGCGUAGGCGGGCUGCCGCGUCCGGGGUGAAAUCCCACGGCUCAACCGUGGAACUGCCCCGGAUACGGGCGGCCUCGAGGGGGGUAGGGGCAUCUGGAACUGUGAGUGGAGCGGUGAAAUGCGUUGAUAUUCACAGGAACUCCGGUGGCGAAGGCGAGGUGCUGGACCCCUCCUGACGCUGAGGCGCGAAAGCCAGGGGAGCAAACAGG